AUGGUGGUGGCCUUCGUGCAGCCGCCGAUGCGGUCAAAACAUUCAAUGCCUGUAGAGGCCCUCAUAUGCGUUCCAUUGAGAAAGCAAAAGCGUUGGGUUCAGUCUGAAAAAGUACGGCAAUUCAUUCACAUAUAUUGUGUUACCUCUGAACCAGAGAGUAAAUCACACAAAUGUAGCUCCUUUACUCUACAGGUUUGUCAUACAUUCGACGUUGGUGGCUUUUGUGCUAUUCUGCUCAAGAAAAAUGAUCUUUGGGGAACUUUGCUAGUAGUAGACACAAAGUGUGCUUUUAAAUACCUACAGAGCAUCAUAUCAUCUAUAUUUGUUUUGAAAUGCUAUGCAUAUCCAUUCUGGCCGCAAAAAUAUGCAUGGUUGACUGGCAGAAGUUCACUACGAGUUGUCAUAUUAUUCUUCAGAGUUCAGAUAAUUGUAUUUUGGGCCGCUGGAACCUGA
rnacentral:rRNA from 1 species